GAUGAACGCUGGCGGCGUGCCUAAUACAUGCAAGUCGAGCGAAUGGAUUAAGAGCUUGCUCUUAUGAAGUUAGCGGCGGACGGGUGAGUAACACGUGGGUAACCUGCCCAUAAGACUGGGAUAACUCCGGGAAACCGGGGCUAAUACCGGAUAAUAUUUUGAACUGCAUGGUUCAAAAUUGAAAGGCGGCUUCGGCUGUCACUUAUGGAUGGACCCGCGUCGCAUUAGCUAGUUGGUGAGGUAACGGCUCACCAAGGCGACGAUGCGUAGCCGACCUGAGAGGGUGAUCAGCCGCGCUGGGACUGAGACACGGCCGAGAAUCCUACGGGAGGCAGCAGGAGGGAAUCUUGCGCAAUGGACGAAGGUGUGACGGAGCAACGCCGCGUGAGUGAUGAAGGCUUUCGGGUCGUAAGACUCUGUUGUUAGGGAAGAACAAGUGCUAGUUGAAUAAGCUGGCACCAUGACGGUACCUAACCAGAAAGCCACGGCUAACUACGUGCCAGCCGCCGCGGUAA
rnacentral:rRNA from 1 species